rnacentral:lncRNA from 7 species
GCAAGAUCAAACUCGUUUUUAGUAAUGCAAUUGGGGCUAUUCCAUGUAACAAGCUUCAUGGUGUGGACUUUUGGUGAGAGUGUGGUGAAGAAAGGCUAUUCCUAGAUCUUUCUGGAGAAUGUCUACAGCCUUAACUUAGAGAUCCUUGGACUGGGCAAUGACAAACAAUGACAGCUUCCAAAUGCUGCUAUAGUGUUUUGUAAGUGCCGUCCUACCCGAUGGAUUUCAGUGCUUUCAAAAGUACCAUUCUGAGUGGAACUGGAAUUUCAAGGAAGCAGAGUUAAAAGAUGCUGGCAAAUGAAUCUCUCCUACAAAGGCUGAAAUGCUGGAUUACAAAUGAGCGAUCCCUUUAGCUAGCCUGCUAAAUUGGUGUGCAGGCCUGGAAAAAGAGAACAAUGAGCUCCUCCUGACACCAGGCUGUUUGUCUGUGUUCAUGAGUAGAGAAGGAAAGCUCAUUAAACUCAGAUACUCUGAUUUCCCAUACUGGUGUUGCUCACAGCUCUGCACAGAGGAGCCCUCCAUGUGUGAACCUGGAGUGUUCCAGUACCAGUGCACCAGCGGGCAACCUUAACACAUCCACCAGAGGUGCUUGGAAGACCAAUCUCCUUCAUCUGUGAAAGAGGAUAAUGCUCAGGCAGCCAGGACAGUAGGUUCCUGUUUCCCACUACAAUGUGAGCCAAGUGCCCAGCAACCACCAGAACAGAAGAAGAACAUGACUUUCAAGUUCAUCAUUGGAGAUCCCUUCAUAUCAUCCAUAGCUGGUGAACGUAUGUUGUAGCCACAACAGAAAACAGUUCUGUAGGAUUUGAGUCUUUCUGUUGAACAUUAUUAAGCCAGCAGUUCAAAAUCAAUUAAAAUCUGAGUGAAACAAAUCCAACUCAAGGAAAAAUAACUACAGUGAAAUGAUCCAAUCAUGAAUCAAGCUUAAUGAAAAUCAAAGUAAUUAUUGUAUAAAUAAAAUGCUUAGAAGUCACAAGAAAUUUUGUUCAGUAGGUGAAAUCAUCAAGGAACCACUGUGCAUUAAAUCAUGAAUUCAUUUAACAUAAACUAAGAGGAAGACUUGAAACCUGCUCUCUCAGUUCUUGAACAAGUGGUAUAUGAGAUAGUGAACAAAGUAUGGAUGCCUUAUUUAAAGAGGCAAGUAAAGGGCUGGCUUUUUCCAUGUUUUUCACCAGUUAGGUUUCGACUGUUUUCUGUAUCAUCACUGAACUUUUCUAGAUCACUUUUCAGGUGUGAUUUCAGGUAACAGCUUUGAGAUACAUCGAUUCAAUAGGAAUCUGUGCUCUCGUUUUUGGCAGUCUGGAUCAGACUGCAUGUCUUGUGAUGCCUAGUGCAAAUCAUGCAGUAGUUAUAGGAAAAGAUAACAUCUUCAGGUUAUCCUGAAAAUGAUGAAUCUUCAGGUCCUCUGAAUAUGAUGGAUAGAGCUCUGAUCAGCCAACUUCAUUUCUUAUUGCAUGUUUUCUCUCUCUGAAAAUGAAUAACUCCUGAAUUGUAUUUAUACUGCUACUACUGUUAAUAAAACUCACUUAGUUGAAUGCUGUUCUAUCUUGCUUUACUGUAAAUCCCAAAAACGUAAUUUACCUGGAUUUAGAUUGAUGCAAGUAAAUGAGAGAG